AAAAAUGAAUUUAUGAAUGCA
rnacentral:piRNA from 1 species